UAUAUACCGUUCGGAUGAAAAAAUGUGCUCUUAGGAUGAUAAUGGUUACGGUUAGGUUGAUAGUGGGGCCCCUAGGGUUGAGUGGGUGGUUGGUUGAAUAGUAUAAUCGAACGGGUGAAAAUAAUUAAAGAGUAGAUCAAACGGUUAAAAACUUAUGAGUACAAGAGGCUCUAUACUGAUAUGAGUAUAGUAGCCGAACUCUCUCUCUAUAUAUAUAAUUAGGCUGGAAUUAUAUUAAUAGCACCAAGUUGUUGAUGCUAUUAAGUUUUUGACCAUUUGAUGAAAAAAUGUACGGCUAGGAUGAUGUGGGUCCCUAAGAUUGAGUGAGUUGUUAGUUGAAUAGUAUAAUCUAAUGGAUGAAAAUAGUUAAAGAGUUAAAUUUAAUGGCAGAAAACUUGGUAGCACCAAGUGCUUGGUGCUAUCGAUAGUAUCCCAGCCGGACUCUCUCUUUCUCUCUAUAUAUAGAGCUAGACUGGUAUAUUAUCGGUAGCACGGAGGCCUUCGUGCUACAAAGUUGUUUUCGAUGAUGCAGCUUCCAAAUCGACGAUCGACUCCGUUAGACUUGAUCUACACUAUUAAAAGUAUUUGGAAACUAAAUUUUAUAAUUUUUCGACAUCAUUUACCUAUCAAACGAGUAGUCUAAAAAUAAACGACUGAAAAUAAAAAUUUCAUAAAAAAUGAUAAUAAAAUACUUGAAUUUAAGAUCAGAGGUGCUAAUCUUACUUUAAAUAAUGAAAAAAAAUUUCUAUAAAAAUUUCAUCAGAUUUGGAUUGUUUUAUACCGUUAAAUUCACAAACGCAUCACAUCUACCAUUAAAAUUGUUAAUUUUGAGAUCUUUUGAUCACUAACCAAACGAUGUCGAAAAGUUAUGAAAUUUAGUUUCCAAAUAUCUUUAAUAGUAGAUCAAGUCUAACGGAACCGAUCAUCGAUUUGGAAGCCGAUCAUCGAAAACAACUUGGUAGCACGAAAGUCUCUGUGCUACCGAUAGUUAGCUCUCUCUCUCUCUCUAUAUAUAUUAAUUUUAUUUAUAAUAAUUUAUAUAAUAAUAUAUUUCUGUCGCAUCGCGCGGCCCUUAACUAGUGUCCAU
rnacentral:lncRNA from 1 species